CAACACCACCACCCACCACCGGGGAUGGGUCUUUUCUCUUCCUCCUUGCACAAUGGCGUUCCCAUUGUUUAAAGGAUUCUCCAGCGAGUUCCUACUUCCUCCGACAUGGAAAAUGAACUCAUAUCAUUUUCCCAGUUUUCGACGAUGACCGACGAUAUCGAGCACUUUUCCCGACCAACUCCGGCCAUUUCACGACCUCCAAUAGGUGCAUUUACUAUGGUGUUUCCGUCAUGUGGAUGUUAAUUCCUCUGCAACUCGUUUUGGGCAAAGCUUCUUCUAUGAGCUUGAUGUGGAAACCAAGGCGAGUUUUCUCAGGUUACAGUCUUGCACAAAGAGCAUUCCAAGCAAGCUGCAGGAAAUUCAUUAAGACAGCAAGCCUCCUAAAACAGGGUUCCUUUUAAUACCUUGUGAUCAGCUCAAGAUGGAACUUGCCAUAUGGCUUAUUGGUCAGUGCCCUCCAUCUUUCCAGUAACAGUGUUGCUAAACAUAAGUUGUCUAAGAUCCGUUGUUGUACCAUGAGACAAGGUGAGAGGGGGAGUCCUCAUUAUUGUCCCUCACCGAUGUGAGAUAGCGCAUCAGCUAUUGGUUGUUAAACCUGGCAUUGGUUGCUGGGGCUUUUUGUGGAUUGUUGCGUCAUCUCAUUUCGUAUGGUAGACCCAAUGCGUUACACCUGGUUUUUUGUGCUGAGCCAGUUGCUGGUCGGUCAUGCUGUGGAAAAAAAAAACCUUUGUUUUCCUUCAAUUUCUUUAGACGGUUUGUGUAGUAUGUGUGUAUGUAUUGACUCAGAUCGGAGGACAAAGCUGGACAAAACUUUUGACACCGUUAGAUUUUAGCACUUUUCACGGCUGAGAUGGUUUAUGACAAUAUGGUUUCUUUUA